GCUUGGGUGGCUCAGUUGGUUGAGCAUCUGACUUCAGCUCAGGUCAUGAUCUCCCAGUCCGUAGGUUUGAGCCCCGCAUCGGGCU
rnacentral:tRNA from 1 species